AUGCGCUGCAUUCUGGGUAAUUUUGCGUUCUAAGAAAAAGGUCUAUACAGUAAAGCGCCUCAUCCUAUGUGCCUUAAGCCUGAUUUAUACUUCUGCGUCAAACACCGGCGUAUGCUACGGCGCUGACGCAUAGCCCUUCGCCGUGGCCAUCGCCGUCACUGACGUGCACCUCUCAAAAAAUGUAACUACACGUCGCAACGACGCGUAGCAUAAGCUCUGUGAUUGGUCGGCUUGGUAGCGCUGACGAGUCUGGGCGGGACCGAGAGGCGCGCGAAUGGCGCGACGCCGCGCGAGCGAUUGUUUACAAGUGUGGAGUCCCGUGAAGGAGCUCCGGAUGGAAAGUUUUGUUUUGUGUUUACCUCAUAGUUAAAGUUGUUGCACGUCCGCCGGUUCCUGCCUCAAAAUGAGCGAGUUUGAGCCACUUGUACAUCCCGGAAGUGUUCAGGAAAUGCAAAAAAGUAGCGAAGAAACUUGACACAGAGGAACAUUUACGCCUCACUGCCAACUAGCGUUUCGGAAGUGUUAAUGCAGACCGGCAGAGACAGCGCGCAGAAGUAUAAAUGCACAGCCACGCGCGUUGCCUGCGCCGUGGGUUACGCCGGUCACCUGACGCAGAAGUAUAAAUCAGGCUUAAAGCUUACUCUGCUACUGUGUGCGUCUACGAUAAACUCCAACGCACAUCAACUGCCGAGUUGUCACCUCAGAUAUAACAACAGAGCACUGGUGAACCUGGGAAACUUCUAUCAGUGAACAACGCCACAGAGGAACCCCAACACAAACACAAGUGAGACUCUUAAUCAUAACCUCGCUGAAUAUUCAAUGAAAAAAUGUUGAAUGGUAAUACUUUAUUUGGAUGGCCCUUAAUGCAUUUUGAUGGGGGGGGGGUGCAUAAAAAUUUGCAUAAAAAUGGGAGUGUCGGUUUAAGCACACACUGAUUUUCACACAGACGCAGGGGAGAAAGACAGUGACUGUUAACAUUAACAUCAGUAAUAGAAUUUUAUGACAUUAUUAAAUGUUCAGUAAUUUCAUUCAUGCCCCUCGAGACGAACGAGAUAUUUGAUUUACGGAAUUGCUUGAAGAGUGUAUUAUUCAUGCAAUGUUUAAUACCGCACGGCGAAUGAAAGAAAAAACCCUCCGCAUUUCUCGGUAACUUAGAUGCAUUCGCUAGGCAGCAUCAGAAAGCCGUGUGUUAUUUCAGUCACAAAAUGAGGUGAAAAUCCUACACAACGGUGAUAGUUUGAUUGCGGUGUUUACAUGUUUACACUCGGAAAGCAGCAUUUACAGCAGAUCUUUCAGUCCAUAAUAUUGGAGUGAUGUUUACAUACUGUAAACUUUAGUAACUUAGAAAUCAUUUUAACUAAGGUCCAUCUUUAAACACUGAAAGAGUACUGCUGACGAUACAAACUAACUUUGCCUCUGAAUAAACAAACACUGAUUGCUCACUUACCAAAUCUGUAGAGACAGGACAAUCAACACAAACUGGAGCUGUGUCUUUAUUAAAAGGAGACGAGUGGCAAAUCCAGAUUUCACCAUUUUCAGAUUAGAAAAGCUCUUGGGUAAAAAAUGUUCCUUAGACACUUAUUUUUGUCGAGCGUCGCAUGCACUGUAAUCCACAUGUGCGUCCAGCUGCGCUCUCAUAGAAGGAAAAUGAAAACAAAACCUUCACUGCAGCAAAUUAUAAAUGGAACACAGACGACCCGUAAUUCCAAACAUUUCUUCUUCUCCCACUUCCCAUAUAGCAAAAUUCCUCUGGCCCAAACAAUCAGGUUUUGCAUGCAGCAGUGAAUUACGGUACAUGACUGGGCCAAAUCUGGCUUCCAGACAAGGGCCAAACAUGGACCAUAUCUGGGCCAAGUUUCAGCCAAGUUAAUAACUCAUAACCAAGCCUGAACUGGGCCAGAUAGGUUGAUGUGUCAUGAUUGCAAUGAAAUUAAUAAACCCAUGAAUCGUUGCGCUUUAGGCACACUAUGGGCAUGCUUUUUCUCAAAGUGACCUGAUUGCUAGAAUUUUUUUCUUUACUCAAAAAAUAUUUCAAUGUAUUUUAAAUGUUAGUCAAGACUGGCCAAACUCACCAGGCCCACAUAUCAAUUUUUCAAAUCUGGGCCAAAUACUAAAUUUUACAUCUGGCCCAAAUCUUGGGUGCCGCCUUAAAUGGUCUCAAACCCGGGCCAUAUUUGGUCCACAUGCUGUAUGCCAGUGCCGGAUGAAUGCCUGCUGUGCCAGCUUCAUGCCAAAUCUGAGCCAGAAUUCGUUGCUACAAGGGUUGUUUUGGCAACAGAACAUGGCAUCUCUCUUCUGUCUGAACACUGUACA
rnacentral:lncRNA from 1 species